AAUGAACGCUGGCGGCAGGCCUAACACAUGCAAGUCGAACGCCCCGCAAGGGGAGUGGCGCACGGGUGAGUAACGCGUGGGAAUAUGCCCUUCGGUUCGGAAUAACACAGGGAAACUUGUGCUAAUACCGGAUACGAUCUACGGAUGAAAGAUUCAUCGCCGAAGGAGUAGCCCGCGUAGGAUUAGCUAGUUGGUGAGGUAAUGGCUCACCAAGGCGACGAUCCUUAGCUGGUCUGAGAGGAUGAUCAGCCACACUAGGACUGAGACACGGCCCAGACUCCUACGGGAGGCAGCAGUGGGGAAUAUUGGACAAUGGGCGAAAGCCUGAUCCAGCCAUGCCGCGUGAGUGAUGAAGGCCUUAGGGUUGUAAAGCUCUUUCGCCAGGGAAGAUAAUGACGGUACCUGGAAAAGAAGCCUCGGCUAACUCCGUGCCAGCAGCCGCCGUAA
rnacentral:rRNA from 1 species